UGUUCGUUUAAUUUGCUUGUUCUUUUGGUGUUAUGUAAGAAAUUAUUCUGGAUGCAAACUGAGAGUGAAGCUGCACAAGUGCGCCGAGGAAGCAGUUUAUGUGCUGGUGCUCUCCUGCUCUCCUGCUGCACUGGCCGCAUUCGCUUUUCAGCUAAGCCUCUUCUUCAUCUCAUGGCGCUACCUUUUGGAAGAUGAAGAACUUGAUCCAUGGAGACACCUUAAAAUGACAAAGAAGAGAAGGAUACUUUGUUUCUAGAUACAGAGCUGCCAUCCCAAUGUUAGAGCAGUGACCUGAAGACUGGUAUGUAAAAGAGAAGCGUCGUCUUGGACUUUGGUGACAUAGUGCUGGACCAGUCAGUCACUGAACUAUUCUGACUCUUGUGGACACCUCAUAUCGCAGUGGCUUUCUAGCUGCUUGUACCUGUUCCUGUUCAGAAGGCUAGUGAUUAGCUGUAUUUUACAUUCCAGUUUGAGAACACAGUAACCUAAAAUAUAAGCAAUAUUUAAAUUUAUGACUUGUGGAAAUGUUAUACAUACAUUUGUGAAAUAUGUAUCCCACAUUUUCCUUUCUCCAUCCCACCAUCCAACAAGCCUCGCUCCCAGCUGGAUGUCGCCCAGUCCCUCCUUGCUUUUGACAGCCCACUAAAUUCAGUUAGUGAGACAGAUACAUGCACAGGGAGCCAAAAUUUUAUUUGAUUGAUUGACUGAUUGAUUUUAUUUAUUUAUUUAUUUUUAAGGCCAUUGUUUUCAAACUAAGACCAGAAUUUUGCAUUGAUGUUUUGAUGGUCAUAGCAGGCUCUGCAACUAGUACUGAAAUAAAAUAAUGUAAUGGUCGAUU